UAACCACUCAAGCCAGUCUUGGUGUUGGGGAUUGCGAGUCUCGCAGCCCUAAAGUCCAGUAGCGUCACCUGUGGGUCCUAAGCGUAGUAAUUUCUCCUCGCUACAGAACCUGCUGGUGGAUAGUAUAAAUCCAGCUAACGCUGCGUAUCUCGCUAUUAAACCCCCAAUUUUUAAA
rnacentral:misc_RNA from 1 species